UACGGAGGGUGCAAGCGUUAUCCGGAUUCACUGGGUUUAAAGGGUGCGUAGGUGGGUUGGUAAGUCAGUGGUGAAAUCUUCGAGCUUAACUCGGAAACUGCCAUUGAUACUAUAGGUCUUGAAUUAUCUGGAGGUAAGCGGAAUAUGUCAUGUAGCGGUGAAAUGCUUAGAUAUGACAUAGAACACCCAUUGCGAAGGCAGCUUACUACGGAUUGAUUGACACUGAGGCACGAAAGCGUGGGGAGUCAAACAGG
rnacentral:rRNA from 1 species